ACGGGAGGCGACAGUGGGGAAUAUUGGGCAAUGGGCGAAAGCCUGACCCAGCGACGCCGCGUGAGGGAAGACGGUCUUCGGAUUGUAAACCUCUUUUAUAGAGGACGAUAAUGACGGUACUCUAUGAAUAAGCCACGGCUAACUACGUGCCCGCAGCCGCGGUAAUACGUAGGUGGCGAGCGUUAUCCGGAUUUACUGGGUGUAAAGGGUGUGUAGGCGGGACUGCAAGUCAGAUGUGAAAAUCACGGGCUCAACUCGUGACCUGCAUUUGAAACUGUGGUUCUUGAGGGUCGGAGAGGUAACCGGAAUUCCUGGUGUAGCGGUGAAAUGCGUAGAUAUCAGGAGGAACACCGGUGGCGAAGGCGAGUUACUGGACGAUUACUGACGCUGAGACACGAAAGCGUGGGGAGCAAACAGGAUUAGAUACCCUGGUA
rnacentral:rRNA from 1 species